rnacentral:rRNA from 1 species
CCUACGGGGGGCAGCAGUGGGGAAUAUUGGACAAUGGGCGAAAGCCUGAUCCAGCCAUGCCGCGUGUGUGAAGAAGGCCUUCGGGUUGUAAAGCACUUUCAGUGGGGAAGAAAGCCUUGGGGCUAAUACCCUCGAGGAAGGACAUCACCCACAGAAGAAGCACCGGCUAACUCCGUGCCAGCAGCCGCGGUAAUACGGAGGGUGCGAGCGUUAAUCGGAAUUACUGGGCGUAAAGCGCGCGUAGGCGGUCUGAUAAGCCGGUUGUGAAAGCCCCGGGCUCAACCUGGGAACGGCAUCCGGAACUGUCAGGCUAGAGUGAAGGUGAGGAAGGUAGAAUUCCCGGUGUAGCGGUGAAAUGCGUAGAGAUCGGGAGGAAUACCAGUGGCGAAGGCGGCCUUCUGGACUGACACUGACGCUGAGGUGCGAAAGCGUGGGUAGCAAACAGGAUUAGAUACCCCUGUAGUC